rnacentral:rRNA from 1 species
UACGUAGGGUGCGAGCGUUAAUCGGAAUUACUGGGCGUAAAGUGUGCGCAGGUGGCCGCGCAAGUCGAGUGUGAAAUCCCCGGGCUUAACUUGGGAAUUGCGCUCGAAACUACGUGGCUCGAGUGUGGCAGAGGAAGGUGGAAUUCCACGUGUAGCGGAUGAAAUGCGUAGUAGGAAUGUGGAGGAACACCGAUGGCGAAGGCAGCCUUCUGGGCCA